UAUUGUUGAUGUGUACAGUCUUUAAGAAGCGAUAUGAAUCUCUCCCAAGCAUGAUAUAAGUUUUCAUUAGGCUUCUACUUAAAACUCAAAAUUUCACUUCUCAACCU
rfam:Capsicum annuum cultivar Zunla-1 unplaced genomic scaffold scaffold9337, whole genome shotgun sequence